UUGAUUGUUUGCCCCGCCCCGAUUAGUUGCACCUGUGUCUCGUUGUCUCUCCUACCUAAGCGUAUUUAGUCAGGAGAGUUUUUCGUUUGUUCAGCGUCAGUUCGUCAUUGUACCGUGUACCCUGCGUUUGUACUUAGUCCUGCGUUUUUUUUGCCUGUGCCUCUGUGUGCGCCCUGUGGAUUACCUUUGUUGGACUUUUCAUGGAUUACUCUUUGUUGGACAUUUACCUGAAUCUCAGCCACCCUCAGUUGUUUUGUCUUCCUUCAUAGUAGGCUAUACCAAUAAAAAUAUUGGAAGCUGCACUGCUACUCUGGGACAGCUUUAAUGAAUGAACCCCAGCUCCUGCUGCUCGGCCUCGUCAGCGCCGGCGCAAGAGAGACAAUGUGGGGAGACCCCUAACCAGCAGGCUUCAAGAAGCUGAAGAAUUAAUUCCACGGGUGACUGAGCACUGGGACAACACAAGGAGUUCAGCUGCAGGCUGAGAAGAGCAUCUCUGAACACACAACACGUCAAACCUUGAAGCAGAUGGGCUACAGAAGCAGAAGACCACACUGGGUGCCACUCCUGUCAGCUAAGAACAGGAAACUGAGGCUACAAUUGGCAUGGGCUCACCAAAAUUAGUCAAGAGAAGAUUGGAAAAACGUUGUCUGAUGUCUGAUGAGUAUCGAUUUCUACUGCGACAUUCAGACGGUAGGGUGUUUGGUGUAAACAACAUGAAAGCAUGGAUCAAUCCUGCCUUGUAUCAAUGGUUCAGGCUGCUGCUGGUGGUGUAAUGGUGUGGAGGAUAUUUUCUUGGCACACUUUGGGCCGCUUAGUACCAAGUGAGAAUCGUUUAAACGCCACAGCCUACCCGAGUAUUGUUGCAGACCAUGUCCAUCCAUGUCACACAGCUCAAAUCAUCUCUGGCUUCUUGAACAUGACAGUGAGUUCACUGUACUCAAAUGGCCUCCACAGUCACAGAUCUCAAUCCAAUAGAGCACCUUUGGGAUGUGGUGGAAAGGGCAAUUCACAUCUUGGAUGUGCAGCCGACAAAUCUGCAGUAACUCUCUGCUCUGAGGAGUGUUUCCAGCACCUUGUUUAAUCUAUGCCACGAAGAAUUAAGGCAGUUCUGAAGGCAAAAGGGGGUCCAACUCAGUACUAGCAAGGUAUACCCAGUGGAUAUUACACAAUACUUGCAGUAAAAAAAAAUUACGUGAAUAUGAACUUUAAAUGUUCCUCUGUUCCACUACUGAUGUGUAUAUAAGUUUUACAAUACUGUAUAUUUCCUUUUAUUUUUUAUGUAAAUCUUUAUUUUUUAUUGUUUAUUUGGACCCACAUUGGCUUCCACAAAGUAGUCGCCAGUCUUCCUGGGGUCCGCACAAAAACAAUAACAAUGAUGUAAAAUCACAUAGUAUCAAUAAAACAAUAAAAGACAAAACAGGCCAAAGAUAAAGAUCAGUAAAUAAGUGAAAUAACUCUAUAAAUGAAAAUAAAUGGCAACAAAAAGGGAAAAAAAAUCAAAAAGUUUCCAAAACAGCAAUAAAACCACCAGAUGACCAGUGCUCACUUGACAUGUAUUAUACCUCUGACAUAAACGUGUAUAUAGUUAUUCACAAAAGAAGUGUAUUAAUUUUGCAGGAAUAACAGAAUUAGCCUAGUCAGUCAUAACAGAAGAACUUUUGCAGAACAUUUCAUUGAAACUGCUCUUCCCAUCAUGGAAACGUUGUGAUCAAUCUGAUCAGACCAAGACUGUCUAAAUGUAUGUCUGUGAUUGAAUUUUAUUUGGUUGUUGUAUUCCACCACCAUGCAAUGGUAGUUUACAUUUUUAUAUGUGAGUUGUUUUUUUAAAGACACCUGCAGGAUACAUGUCUCCACUUUAUGCCUUAUUCUUUGGAGGACCUUUAGAGGACCCCAUGAUCACUAAAAUGGGUGCUCUUAUUUCUACGAGUGUCCUGUCUGUGGUUCAGUUUAGACAACAAAAGCACUUAGUAAACAUGUCAUGUUACAUCACUUUUAACUUUUCAGUAUUUAAACAAAAUCACAAUUUUUUCCA